AAGAGUUGCAAGACUCCAAACCAUCGCGAACAUACCACAUCGUUGCCUCGGCGGGCGGCUCCAGGGCGGAGCCUCCGGCCCCCUUCGGGGGGUGUCCGCCGAAAGGCCCCAAACACUGCUGAAGCUAGGCUACUCCGAGUAAAUAGAUAUAGUUA
rnacentral:misc_RNA from 1 species